UGCUGCAGUGUCUGCGGCUGUAGAAUCAACUCAAGUCAGACUUUUUGGAGAGGUUCUCUGUAAUGAGUGAUUUCCAGAAACACUGACGUGAUGGAAUCACGGAACAAUCAAUGAAGGUUGACUGUCCAGAGGUUUUCAGAAAAGCUCUUAAUAUACUAGCUCAUGUUAGAAGUUGUCAGCACCACUGG